rnacentral:lncRNA from 1 species
UGGAGGUCUCCUUCAACUCCAGCCCUAAGGAGGAGGGAAAUGGGGCAUGAUCACACAGCUUGGUUUAAUAGCUGGCACCCCAGCUUCUCUCUCUUGGAAAACCUGCCUUUAAUUAUUAUGCGUUCCCACCCUGAGGAUUCUCUUACUCACAGAAUGGGAAAAUACAGGACUUACCACGUAAAAGACAUCCAGUUGGUGGAUGGUACCUUUAAAACAAGGCAGGAGUCUUAUGGAUUGGAUCCGAUUGACCAAAAGUGGAAAGGACUUCACGGGAUUGAAGGGCGGGUUAAUUGAAGUAACAGAAGAAGAACUUAAGAAGCACAACAAGAAAGACGACUUCAGUCAUGACAGCAGGUGCAUACAAGAGCCUUUGUUAUGAGCUGCAAGUUUCCUUACCACUGAAAUUGUAUCACUGUUCUGCAGUAAACACUUGUAUUUUAUGACAUGAUAAACUAAGCAAUCAUUUUGGUCACUUUUUAUGCUGCAAGAUAUCUUCUGAGCAAUACAGAUUAAGUUUUACACUGCACUGUUCACUCAGGAAUCGAUGGUGUAUAUCCUUAUUAGUCUUAACACACAGAAUGCUGUAACUAUUUGUGGUCAGGUUUUGUGGGUGUCCAUGGCAUUGUUACAGAUAGAAUAAAACUAUACUUCAUACUUUUU